UACGUAGGGUGCAAGCGUUUGUCCGGAAUUAUUGGGCGUAAAGAGCGUGUAGGCGGCUGGGUAGGUCUGCUGUGAAAACUCGAGGCUCAACCUCGAGACGUCGGCGGAAACCCUCCAGCUAGAGUCCGGAAGAGGAGAGUGGAAUUCCUGGUGUAGCGGUGAAAUGCGCAGAUAUCAGGAAGAACACCCGUGGCGAAAGCGGCUCUCUGGGACGGUACUGACGCUGAGACGCGAAAGCGUGGGGAGCAAACAGG
rnacentral:rRNA from 1 species